GACGUAGGGUCCGAGCGUUGUCCGGAGUUACUGGGCGUAAAGGGCGCGUAGGCGGCACUGUUAGUCAGGCGUGAAAUUCCUGGGCUCAACCUGGGGACUGCGCUUGAUACGGCAGAGCUUGAGGAUGGAAGAGGGUCGCGGAAUUCCCAGUGUAGAGGUGAAAUUCGUAGAUAUUGGGAAGAACACCGGUGGCGAAGGCGGCGACCUGGUCCAUUACUGACGCUGAGGCGCGACAGCGUGGGGAGCAAACAGG
rnacentral:rRNA from 1 species